rnacentral:lncRNA from 1 species
CUCACACACAUCAUACACAGCACUCUCACACUCAGCACUCUUACACACAUCACACUCAGCACUCUCACACACAUCAUACACAGCACUCUCACACACAUCACACUCUGCACUCUCACACUCAUCACACUCAGCACUCUCACACACAUCAUACACAGCACUCUCACACACAUCAUACACAGCACUCUCACACUCAUCACACUCAGCACUCUCACACACAUCAUACACAGCACUCUCA